CCUACGGGAGGCAGCAGUGGGGAAUAUUGCACAAUGGGGGAAACCCUGAUGCAGCGACGCCGCGUGAGUGAAGAAGUAUCUCGGUAUGUAAAGCCCUAUCAGCAGGGAAGAAAAUGACGGUACCUGAUUAAGAAGCCCCGGCUAACUACGUACCAGCAGCCGCGGUAAUACGUCGGGGGCAAGCGUUAUUCGGAUUUACUGGGUGUAAAGGGGGCGUAGACGGGAGCACAAGUCUGGAGUGAAAUGCCGGGGCUUAACCCAGGAACUGCUUUGGAAACUGUGCGGCUAGAGUGCAGGAGAGGUAAGUGGAAUGCGUGGUGUAGCGGUGAAAUGCGUAGAUAUUAGGAGGAACACCAGUGGCGAAGGCAGCUUACUGGACUGUAACUGACGUUGAGGCUCGAAAGCGUGGGGAGCGAACAGGAUUAGAUACCCGAGUAGUC
rnacentral:rRNA from 1 species